UCUUUUGGGUUACUAAUCUAUACAAUACCACACAUUCUUCCUAGUUUACACGAGAGUACAUUUGAGAGUUAAACUGAAUACAGUAGCACCUGAAUCAUGUAGGUAUGAGUGGUUUGCAGCUAACUUAGCAACUCAGUGAGAGCUAAAUUUAAAGAUCAGCUCACAGCUGUUUUUUGUUAUGGCUUUUAUCUUCAAAAGGUACUGCUUUUCCAAUCAGCUGGAGCACCUCGUACAGUCCCUCACAACUGUUUCCUGUGGCUCUGCACACCAAUCCCCUGGCUGAUUUGCAAACUUGUCUUUGCUGAGGGCUCAGGAAUCUAAAUUUACGAAGAAUUUGGGCUCUAAUAUACUUCUUCUGCAGUCUUUGUUUUUCCUUACUAUAAUGUAUGGAGAAAACUGCAGUUCUCUUGCUAUGCAGGUUUGACUUCCCCCAGACAACAGUGUCAUCAAGUCAAUCUGGCUGUAACACGUUUCUCCAUCACAGGCAAGGGAAAGUAAGCCACAUCUUUUGUCUUCAUUGGCUAACAGAGAAAGCAUUCAAGUAAGAGUCUCAGCAUUCCUAAAUCCUGGCUUUGAUUAAAUAGAAGAAAUGCUAUCUGGAUUUGAACUGCUGUCAGGAUUUGAACUGAUACCCGUGUAUAUGCAAUAAUAUAUGUCUUGUUAGGUCUUACCCUAGAUGAGUGCCCAAGUGUCAGAGUAUUAUGUUAUAUAACAUGCAGAACAAUAAAUAUUCACCAGCAGAUGAAACUUGCUAAAUAGUAUGAAGACCUAACUUGGCAAUACUGGACAUUUGAUUUCAGACUGCUAACAGCACAGUAUUAUUUUCUUCUAUAAACAGAUGUUCUGUACAUUUGUCACAGACUUCCUGGGUCCAAAAUUCUAAGGUAGAAGGUUACAGAUUUUUUUUAUGGGAGUGUGUAGCAUAAAUGUACAUGGAACUAGGAAAGCAAAGUCCAAAAUCACUAUUCAGAGCAUACAUAGAGGGAGUAAUACAUUUUUUCCCUUCAGAUAUACUUUGAAGACUACGCAGAGGGCAUGCCUGUCUUAGUACACAGUAAAGAGGUGGAAGUUGCACCUUCUUAGAAUGCCCUUCCACCAUCCUCCUUUCCUAUCCAUUCUCACUUGAAAAACUGUAACUUUUACAGUGCUGGAGCAGUGGUUGAGGAAGGGCUGACUUCCCAAUGACACUUGUUACAGCUUUAUAUCUUUAAUACACCCAGUUUACCAAGCACUAAUCAGGUUUGAUCCUACUUUGCAGGAGAUCAGUAUGAAGUUUCAUGGCAGUUGUUCCUUGCCCAGAUUAAAGUUUUUACAAAGGUAAUGGUAAUAAAGAUUUAUGCCCAGGGAAGUAAACAUCUGGGCAGCAAGUAUCGCCUUGUCAACUGCAUCUGGAGAGAAUUAUUCAGUGCUCCUGCUAACUUCUUCGUCCAGAUAGACUUGACUAAUCUCCAGUUUCCUCCAAUCUUCUGGCAGAAAGCUAGUGGGGUUUGGUUUGCUUUUCAGGAAGAUGGCCCACUAAACAAGCUCUUAUUCUAGAUAGUAUUGCAGUAUUUGUUGCUUGUUUAUUGUUAAAAGCCUUUUUACCAGCUGUGGUUAUUUCAUUCAGCUGUCCAUUUACUUGCAUUAGCUGCAAAUCUACUUUUUCUAGUUUAAGUUAAUGGUUUGUUUCAAAAUGUGUAGCACUGUUUCAUGAGUUCUAAACUUUGGUUGUAUUAAUGCCUAACAGGAUAGGGCUUUGUUUACAUAACUGCUCAAGAUGUAUCUUCAGACCACACAUGUACAAAUACUGUAAACCACAGGAACUGGGGGCUCCUUUAAUGUAGUUAAACUUAGUGCAGGGUUAUAUUAGGAAAAACAGGAACUAGAAUUAAUGAGGAUCGGUGUAAAAGCUCCAAAGUGCUACUGCUACACGAUGAUCAAAACUGAAACAAAUGGUUCAUGAGAGAGAUGCACAUUUAAUAUGCCUGUACUUUGAAAUGUCUUUCAAGUGCUCACACUGUUCAGAUCUAUAAAGAGACUUGAGUGGAAUACUAGAAGUAUAUGAAUGCUUUGGGAAAUGACUUGGGUCAUUAUUGUAAGCACUUAUUUACAAAACAUAAAUAAAAGUCUGAAGCAUGAUAUGCAGCAUGGGUGGUCCAAAACACAAAUGCAUCUUUCACAAGGAGAUUAUCAAACUCAACCCCCAUAUAUAAGUCCAAAAUGUAUUUAAAAAAAAAAAA